rnacentral:rRNA from 1 species
UACAGAGGGGGCAAGCGUUGUUCGGAAUUACUGGGCGUAAAGAGCUCGUAGGCGGUUUGUUGCGUCGGCCGUGAAAACCUGCAGCUUAACUGUGGGCCUGCGGCCGAUACGGGCAGACUUGAGUUCGGUAGGGGAGACUGGAAUUCCUGGUGUAGCGGUGAAAUGCGCAGAUAUCAGGAGGAACACCGGUGGCGAAGGCGGGUCUCUGGGCCGAUACUGACGCUGAGGAGCGAAAGCGUGGGGAGCGAACAGG